CUCAGGACGAACGCUGGCGGCGUGCCUAAUACAUGCAAGUCGAGCGGACAGAAGGGAGCUUGCUCCCGGAUGUUAGCGGCGGACGGGUGAGUAACACGUGGGUAACCUGCCUGUAAGACUGGGAUAACUCCGGGAAACCGGAGCUAAUACCGGAUAGUUCCUUGAACCGCAUGGUUCAAGGAUGAAAGACGGUUUCGGCUGUCACUUACAGAUGGACCCGCGGCGCAUUAGCUAGUUGGUGAGGUAACGGCUCACCAAGGCGACGAUGCGUAGCCGACCUGAGAGGGUGAUCGGCCACACUGGGACUGAGACACGGCCCAGACUCCUACGGGAGGCAGCAGUAGGGAAUCUUCCGCAAUGGACGAAAGUCUGACGGAGCAACGCCGCGUGAGUGAUGAAGGUUUUCGGAUCGUAAAGCUCUGUUGUUAGGGAAGAACAAGUGCAAGAGUAACUGCUUGCACCUUGACGGUACCUAACC
rnacentral:rRNA from 1 species